CCUACGGGAGGCAGCAGUAGGGAAUAUUGCUCAAUGGGGGAAACCCUGAAGCAGCAACGCCGCGUGGAGGAUGAAGGUUUUCGGAUUGUAAACUCCUUUUGUUAGAGAAGAUAAUGACGGUAUCUAACGAAUAAGCACCGGCUAACUCCGUGCCAGCCGCCGCGGUAAUACGGAGGGUGCAAGCGUUACUCGGAAUCACUGGGCGUAAAGCGCGCGUAGGCGGGAUAGCAAGUCAGAUGUGAAAUCCUAUGGCUUAACCAUAGAACUGCAUUUGAAACUGUUAUUCUAGAGUAUGGGAGAGGUAGGUGGAAUUCUUGGUGUAGGGGUAAAAUCCGUAGAGAUCAAGAGGAAUACUCAUUGCGAAGGCGACCUGCUAGAACAUAACUGACGCUGAUGCGCGAAAGCGUGGGGAGCAAACAGGAUUAGAUACCCCAGUAGUC
rnacentral:rRNA from 1 species